GGGCUACACACGUGCUACAAUGGCGGUGACAAUGGGCAGCGAAGGGGCGACCUGGAGCUAAUCCCAAAAAGCCGUCUCAGUUCGGAUUGCACUCUGCAACUCGAGUGCAUGAAGGUGGAAUCGCUAGUAAUCGCAGAUCAGCAUGCUGCGGUGAAUA
rnacentral:rRNA from 1 species